UUCGAAAUCCGGAACCUUUUUUUCGCCGCAACGCAUCCGGAACAAAUGUGAAGACGGACCACUUCCGGUCCGACUGUCAACACAGGAGCAUCCACACGUGUUUUCAAACAGAUACAAUGCCGAAGCCUAAUAAAGGAAAUGGAAAGGCUCCGGAGAAGGUUUGUCACCCGUACAGCCGGAAAGCUGCUUACCUGGCCGCAGAAGAAAUCAGACUGAAAAAGAAGAAUAGAUCGAAUAAAGACAAAGCAACACGUCUGAGCGGCAUAGGUAUGCAUGUGA